rnacentral:rRNA from 1 species
UACGUAGGUGACAAGCGUUGUCCGGAUUUACUGGGCGUAAAGAGCGCGCAGGCGGUCGUACAAGUCGCGUGUGAAAGCCCCCGGCUCAACUGGGGAGGGUCACGCGAUACUGUUCGACUCGAAGGCAGGAGAGGGAAGUGGAAUUCCCGGUGUAGUGGUGAAAUGCGUAGAUAUCGGGAGGAACACCAGUGGCGAAGGCGACUUCCUGGCCUGUUCUUGACGCUGAGGCGCGAAAGCUAGGGGAGCAAACGGG